rnacentral:rRNA from 1 species
AUUGAACGCUAGCGGGAUGCCUUACACAUGCAAGUCGAACGGCAGCGCGGACUUCGGUCUGGCGGCGAGUGGCGAACGGGUGAGUAAUGUAUCGGAACGUGCCCAGUAGCGGGGGAUAACUACUCGAAAGAGUAGCCAAUACCGCAUACGCCCUACGGGGGAAAGGGGGGGAUCGCAAGACCUCUCACUAUUGGAGCGGCCGAUAUCGGGUUAGCUAGUUGGUGAGGUAAAGGCUCACCAAGGCGAUGAUCCGUAGCUGGUUUGAGAGGACGACCAGCCACACUGGGACUGAGACACGGCCCAGACUCCUACGGGAGGCAGCAGUGGGGAAUUUUGGACAAUGGGGGAAACCCUGAUCCAGCCAUUCCGCGUGUGCGAUGAAGGCCUUCGGGUUGUAAAGCACUUUUGGCAGGAAAGAAAUCGCAUCAAUUAAUACUUGGUGUGGAUGACGGUACCUGCAGAAUAAGCACCGGCUAACUACGUGCCAGCAGCCGCCGUAA